CAUGAACCUAGAUCAUAGACUAUAAUUCCUACCGGUCUAAUAAUGUUAAACCGAAAACGUUCAGCCACUACGCCAACAUUAACAUGGAUUAUGAGAUAUGACCGGAGCCAAAGAGUACACUGAUUAUAUUGUUUAUCAAACAAGAUUUGCACCACUCCAAAUAUAGACCGAAUUCUGUAAAACUAUAUAUUUUUUUUUUACACAGUGUGUAUUGUAUUAUUCUUCACAUAACAAAACUAUAAUGCUUGUAAAAUGACCACUUGGUUUUAUGAACUUAGAGAAUAGAACACAACAAUUGUUCCAACAAUGAUCUUGUUUAAACUGAAGUAGAGAAGGAGGUGCAUUCUGUAUCUGUUACUCUUUCACCAUUACUUGUGGGUAGGUCUCUAGUCAGUAGUGAACUGUUAGGCCAAUGAAGAACGUUUGAAGAACUUGACCUUUCGGUUGUACGGAAAAAGCUUCUUUAAAAGCUCAUAGCCACACGAUGGGCUAUCUGCGAUCUGUUCACUCGGGAAAAGAAACACAGGAUUUUAGCGUCGUAAGUCAUAGACUUAUCGCUGACCCAUGAGGGGGGCAUUUAAUGAAAAGUCUUGAAUUUCAAAGUACAUAUAUGCGAAUUAGUUGAAAGAACCAACUAUAGAUGGUAAUUAAUAAAGAAUUGUGAAUUGA